CCUUACCAAGGCAGUGAUGGUAUAUGCCUUCUCUCAAAAUAUGUAGUAUUUGUUGUAUAAGGCAUAGUGACAUUGCCUUCUCUCUCACCCUACUCUAAUAAGGCUUUAAUAUCUGGAGCUCAUAGGUGGGAGAUAAAAUAAACAUGCUUACAAGACAUUUAUUGUAUAGUCAAACCAUGGAUCCAAAGAAACAAAUCAAUAAGUCAAAUCAAGAUGUGCAUGUGUGACGAAUGAAUGGUGUAUGGUGAUGAUGAUGGUGAUAACAAUGGUGAAAGUCUAAUUCUACUUUUGCUCUUUGAGGAGAUACAUACCUUCCUUGCUUUUUGAAACUUUGUGAUGAGAAUGAAAUGCUCUCUAUUUCAUUUUUCUUUCCUCUUAGGUAGGUACUGUCAGACACUUGUCCAUUUUUACCUCUCGUCUCACUUUUUCUUUUCUUUUGAGGUUCCGGGCACUUCCCCUUUUUAUUUCCUCGUAUCUCUUUUUUUAGAGCACUCUUCUCAUGAGAUAAUGUAGCAAGUGGUAGUAACCAAGAUAAGUUAAGCAUUUAUUUCAUAGGGAAAACAGAAAUGUUUUUGGCUAUUCUCUCCAGGAUUAGGAGUAGAAUAUUUUUAGGUGGUUCUGGAGAUGGAAAUGGGUGGAUAUAUGUGGAUGCAUAUUUCCGGAGUAGAAACAGCAUGUGUUAGUGAACGUGCAAGU
rnacentral:lncRNA from 1 species